UACGUAGGCAGCGAGCGUUGUUCGGAUUUACUGGGCGUAAAGGGCGCGUAGGCGGCCACCGCAAGUCGACUGUGAAAUCUCCGGGCUUAACCCGGAAAGGUCAGCCGAUACUGCGGGCUAGAGUGCAGAAGGGGCAACUGGAAUUCUCGGUGUAGCGGUGAAAUGCGUAGAUAUCGAGAGGAACACCUGCGGCGAAGGCGGGUUGCUGGGCUGACACUGACGCUGAUGCGCGAAAGCUAGGGGAGCGAACGGG
rnacentral:rRNA from 1 species